GAUGAACGCUGGCGGCGUGCCUAAUACAUGCAAGUCGAGCGAACGGACGAGAAGCUUGCUUCUCUGAUGUUAGCGGCGGACGGGUGAGUAACACGUGGAUAACCUACCUAUAAGACUGGGAUAACUUCGGGAAACCGGAGCUAAUACCGGAUAAUAUUUUGAACCGCAUGGUUCAAAAGUGAAAGACGGUCUUGCUGUCACUUAUAGAUGGAUCCGCGCUGCAUUAGCUAGUUGGUAAGGUAACGGCUUACCAAGGCAACGAUGCAUAGCCGACCUGAGAGGGUGAUCGGCCACACUGGAACUGAGACACGGUCUAGACUCCUACGGGAGGCAGCAGUAGGGAAUCUUCCGCAAUGGGCGAAAGCCCGACGGAGCAACGCCGCGUGAGUGAUGAAGGUCUUCGGAUCGUAAAACUCUGUUAUUAGGGAAGAACAUAUGUGUAAGUAACUGUGCACAUCUUGACGGUACCUAAUCAGAAAGCCACGGCUAACUACGUG
rnacentral:rRNA from 1 species